rnacentral:rRNA from 1 species
CUACUCUUGGACAGCCUUCUGAAAGGAAGAUUAAUACAAGAUGGCAUCAUGAGUCCGCAUGUACACAUGAUUAAAGGUAUUCCGGUAGACGAUGGGGAUGCGUUCCAUUAGAUAGUAGGCGGGGUAACGGCCCACCUAGUCUUCGAUGGAUAGGGGUUCUGAGAGGAAGGUCCCCCACAUUGGAACUGAGACACGGUCCAAACUCCUACGGGAGGCAGCAGUGAGGAAUAUUGGUCAAUGGGCGAGAGCCUGAACCAGCCAAGUAGCGUGAAGGAUGACUGCCCUAUGGGUUGUAAACUUCUUUUAUAAAGGAAUAAAGUCGGGUAUGCAUACCCGUUUGCAUGUACUUUAUGAAUAAGGAUCGGCUAACUCCGUGCCAGCAGCCGCGGUAAUACGGAGGAUCCGAGCGUUAUCCGGAUUUAUUGGGUUUAAAGGGAGCGUAGAUGGAUGUUAAAGUCAGUUGUGAAAGUUUGCGGCUCAACCGUA